rnacentral:rRNA from 1 species
GCUUGAAGCCUAGCCCCAAUCUACCCAAUGAAACAUCUUUUCCCACCCCUCUCCCAUAAAACAUUUUCCUAACUAAGUAAAGGCGAUUAAAAAGUACCUAGGAGCCUCAACAUCAGUACCGUAAGGGAAAAAUGAAAUAAAAAUGAAAUAAAUUUAAAGCACCAUAAAGUAGAGAUUUAUUCUCGUACCUUUUGCAUCAUGGUCUAACUAGUAAAACCAAGCAAAACGAACUUUAAGUUUGAUACCCCGAAACUAGACGAGCUACUUCAAAACAGCCCCACGAGCUAAUCCGUCCCUGUUGCAAAAGGGUGGAAAGAUUUUCAAGUAGAGGUGACAAACCUACCGAGCCUAGAGAUAGCUGGUUAUUCAGGAAAAGGAUAUUAGUCCAAUUUUAACCCCCCCCCCUCUCCUAUAAUACUUAGUACGCCCAUGGGCUUAAAAUUUAUUCAAAUAAGGUACAGCCUAUUUGAACUAGGAUACAACCUUUGACAGUAGGUAAUGCCAAACUCACGUGAUCAAGUAGGCCUAAAAGCAGCCAUCUUUUAAAAAGCGUUAAAGCCUUAUCACACCCUAUUACCAAUCCCAAUCGGAACCCAAAACCUCUCACCCUUACUGAAUGACUUCAUACUAAUAUGAAAACCCCUAUGUUAGAACUAGUAACAAGAACACCACUUCUCCUAUAAAUGUAAGUGUAGGCCGAAAUGGAACACCCAUCGGCACUUACCGUUAAUGAAUCUGCAGUAACAACUCACCCAAGAAAACUUUACUACACCUCACGUUAACCUUACACAAGAACUUUUCUGGAAAGAUUAAAAAAAGAGGAAGGAACUCGGCAAACCACUAACCCCGCCUGUUUACCAAAAACAUCGCCUUCUGAUAAUUAAUUGAAGGUCCAGCCUGCCCAGUGAAAAACUUAAACGGCCGCGGUAUUUUAACCGUGCAAAGGUAGCACAAUCACUUGUUCUUUAAAUAAGGACUGGUAUGAACGGCAUCACGAGGGUUAUUCUGUCUCCCCCAUUUAAUCAGUGAAACUAAUCUCCCCGUGAAGAAGCGGGGAUACACCCAUAAGACGAGAAGACCCCAUGGAGCUUCAAACUAAGUACCACUUGCCAUUACCCACAUCACUCAAGCCAAGCAAAUCUGUUUACUAGUUUUUGGUUGGGGCGACCGCGGAGCAAAACAAAACCUCCACGAUGAAUGGAGCCCUCCUCCUAAUCAAAGAGCCACCACUCGCAGAAUCAAAAUAUUGACCUAAAUUGAUCCAAUACAUUUGAAUAACGAACUAAGUUACCCUGGGGAUAACAGCGCAAUCCAUUUCAAGAGCCCGUAUCAACAAAUGGGUUUACGACCUCGAUGUUGGAUCAGGGUACCCCAGUGGUGCAGCCAUUACUAAAGGUUC